AGUGAACGCUGGCGGUGGGCCUAACACAUGCAAGUCGAACGGCAGCACAGUAAGAGCGUGCUUUUACGGGUGGCGGGUGGCGGGCGGGUGAGGAAUAGAUCGGAAUCUACUUUUUCUGGGGGGAUUACGGAGGGAAACUUACGCUAAUACCUAAUACGACCUACGGGUGGAAUCAGGGGUGCUUGGGGCCUUUGGUGAUUGUAUGAGCUGAUGUCGGAUUAGCUUGUUGGCGGGGUAAAGGCCCACCAAGGCGACGAUCCGUAGCUGGCCUGAGAGGAUGAUCAGCCACACUGGAACUGAGACACGGUCCAGACUCCUACGGGAGGCAGCAGUGGGGAAUAUUGGACAAUGGGCGCAAGCCUGAUCCAGCCAUACCGCGUGGGUGAAGAAGGCCUUCGGGUUGUAAAGCCCUUUUGUUGGGAAAGAACAGCAGCAGGUUAAUACCCCGCUGUUCUGACGGUACCCAAAGAAUAAGCACCGGCUAACUUCGUG
rnacentral:rRNA from 1 species